GCAGGUCAGUUCCAUGCAGUCGACGGCAGCACGGGUGCUUGCACCUGGUGGCGAGUGGCGAACGGGUGAUAAUACAUCGGAACGUGUCCUGUAGUGGGGGAUAGCCCGGCGAAAGCCGGAUUAAUACCGCAUACGAUCUACGGAUGAAAGCGGGGGAUCUUCGGACCUCGCGCUAUAGGGGCGGCCGAUGGCGGAUUAGCUAGUUGGUGAGGUAAAGGCUCACCAAGGCGACGAUCCGUAGCUGGUCUGAGAGGACGACCAGCCACACUGGGACUGAGACACGGCCCAGACUCCUACGGGAGGCAGCAGUGGGGAAUUUUGGACAAUGGGCGAAAGCCUGAUCCAGCAAUGCCGCGUGUGUGAAGAAAGACUUCGGGUUGUAAAGCACUUUUGUCCGGAAAGAAAUCCCUGGUCCUAAUAUGGCCGGGGGAUGACGGUACCGGAAGAAUAAGCACCGGCUAACUACGUGCCAGCAGCCGCGGUAAUACGUAGGGUGCAAGCGUUAAUCGGGAAUUACUGGGCGUAAAGCGUGCGCAGGCGGUGAUGUAACACCGGAUGUGAAAUCCCCCGGGCUAAACCUGGGGAACUGGCAUUGGUGGGUGGCUC
rnacentral:rRNA from 1 species